rnacentral:rRNA from 1 species
AGUUCUGCCAGGUGACGCUCGUCCGCCCAAGUGGUGUGUUUUGGGCGUGCAUCUGGCCCCUUCAAGGGGAACUUGUUGCACUUUAUUGUGUGGCGCGAGAUCCUUGACUUUUACUUUGAGGAAAUAAGAGUGUUCCAAGCAGGCUCUCGUCGUGCAUAGCUCAGCAUGGAAUAAUAGCAUUGGACUUCGUUUCUACGCUGUUGGUUGCAAGAAGCGAGGUAAUGAUGAAUAGGGAUAGUUGGGGGCAUUCGUAUUUAACUGUCAGAGGU